rnacentral:rRNA from 1 species
GGCAUACUGCUUAGUAACACGUGGUUAACCUGCCCUAAGGUGAAGAAUAUUCCCGGGAAACUGGGGCUAAUACUUCAUAGUGGAUAUAUCCUGGAAUGGUGUAUCCUCGAAAGAUCCGUCGCCUUAGGAUGGGACUGCGUCCGAUUAGGUUGUUGGCGGGGUAACGGCCCACCAAGCCAUUGAUCGGUACGGGUUGUGGGAGCAAGAUCCCGGAGAUGGAUUCUGAGACAUGAAUCCAGGCCCUACGGGGCGCAGCAGGCGCGCAAACUUUACAAUGCGAGCAAUCGUGAUAAGGAAACCCUGAGUGCCUGUCGAUGCAGGCUGUUCAUAUAUCUAAAUCAUAUGUGAAGAAAGGGCAGGGCAAGACCGGUGCCAGCCGCCGCGGUAAUACCGGCUGCUCGAGUGAUGGCCACUAUUACUGGGUUUAAAGCGUCCGUAGCUUGACUGUUAGGUCCCUUGGGAAAUCUUCACGCUCAACGUGAAGGCGUCUAAGAGAUACCGGCAGUCUUGGAACUGGGAGAGGUAAACCGUACUUCGGGGGUAGGAGUGAAAUCUUGUAAUCCUCGAGGGACGACCUAUGGCGAAGGCAGUUUACCAGAACAGCUUCGACAGUGAGGGACGAAAGCUGGGGGAGCAAACGGGAUUAGAUACCCCGGUAGUCCCAGCCGUAAACAAUGUGCGUUAGGUGUGUCGGUAACCACGCGUUACUGAUGCGCCGAAGAGAAAUCGUGAAACGCACCACCUGGGAAGUACGGUCGCAAGGCUGAAACUUAAAGGAAUUGGCGGGGGAGCACCACAACAGGUGGAGCCUGCGG